rnacentral:tRNA from 1 species
UGCUUAAUGCGGGAAUCGAACCCGGGUCGUAGAGGUCGAAAACCAACGGUUUAGACCAUCCUUCCACCGACCACCUAAAC